CAAACGGUUCAUUUGACUACAAAUACAAAGUGAGGGCGACUUAAUCGUUUGGAGCAAGCUUAAUCGUCUUCCUCUUCGCAUCAACUUUUCCAAGAUCUUAAUUGUUUUCCUCCAAGAAUAAAUUAGAUUGAUUUCGAGAAAUUGGUGAUUGCGGGAAGAAGACGAUGAUGUUGGAGGGCAAGCUUCAUGGCCGUUUUCCUUCUCAUGCUCUCCAUUUUUUUCUUCAGUUAUCUAUUCUACAAACCCACAUUAUUCCUACUCAUAAUUUCCAUCCGAUGAUCAAUUGCACUGUUCAUCUAAUCCCACCUAGCGUGCUGCUUCCCUUCUUGAUCAAACGCUUCACUUGUCUCAGUAGCUUCUCGUCUUCCGUCUUUGUUACUUGAAACCGAAACCUCUCACCCCCAAUAUCAACUUCUCUGAAGCGAACACUUGAAAUAUUCUGUCGUCUGAUCUCAGCAAAUCAAACGUCCAGAAUCUCGAAACAAAGCAGACAAAUCAAGAAUGAUGUUCUUCGUGGUUUUCCCAUAUAAUAGUGUAUUCAUCGACAUCUCUGCUUUCACCCAAAUCGACACCUUUCUCCUGCUCCUGCGCAGGCGAUGGCCACAGUGGACAGAGGGUUUCUUUUUUUAGUCUGAUUCCACUAUUUGUUUCCUAAAUUCACAAUCUUGAGGACCUGUCAUCACAUGUUAUGGGAAAGAAAGAGAAGAAAUUUUGUUUAUAUUCAGUUCUGGUGAUGGAACUACUCAUGGAAGAAGACACACUCUGAACCACAAUUCUCAGGGAGUAUCAUCAUUGCUCUCACACACAAAGAACAAAAGCUUUUCUGUAUAUGAAUGAAUAAUGAUUCAGUCAAAAGUAGCAAAAUAAACCAGAAAACAGCUGAUGGAUGAAAUAGUUGGAGAAACUUAUGAGAAGUGCAAGGGUGCUUCCAAUGGUAGUGGAUAAGGCAAGGGUAUUAAAGAAAUAGUUUCAAGCAACAAUGACACUUGUUUUGAAGAUAAGAAACUCUCAAUACCAUGGUUUGAAUAAUGCUGGUGGAUCCCUUGAACAUGCCUUCAUUGAGAAGCUUCUGUUAUGGGUGUUUUAUGAAUGUCCAAAAGGUUUUAUUCAAGGUCAUUGAUUUUGCUCCUAACUGCUACAAUCCACCUGAGUCGCUUGUUGACCGUUUUAACUGGUGUCUACGCUAUUUAUAUUUAAUGACUGGUUUUCCACUAUUCACAGUGGAAGUGGACAGAGGGUUUCUCUUUGCCAGUUUAAUUCCACCAUUUGUUUCCCAAUUUCAGAAUGUUGAGUUUGUGUUUGUAGGAGCUGUCAUCACAUGUUAUGGGAAAGACAGAGAAGAAAAUUUCUUUUACCAAAUAAUAUUCAUAUUAAUUCUAAGUGGGGAUCCAGAAAUAGCAAAAUACUUUCAUUUCUUAUUCCAGAUCAGGGACCUGUCACAUGUUAUGGAAAAGUCAGAGAAGAAAUUUUGUUUAUAUUUACUGCUGCUGUUAUACUUUUUCAGCAAGAUGCCAAGGAGUUGGUUCACGUUAUGAGAUGUUGGCAGAAUUGUCGAGGAGAGAGGGAGAUGCAAACAUAAAACCUGAUCCGGAUAUCGAUGUCUUCAUGAAGGCUGCUGCUACUGAAGGUUAAGAAGGUAGCGUAGUCACAGAUUAUACUCUCAAGCUAUUGGGAUUUGGAACAUCUCAUCUCUUUUGAAGGACAGGGUUAGGAAGAUUGAAGGAAACCCUGAUUUCUGUUGCUUCAUCUCUCAACAAAAUACUGUAAAUCAAGGUGAAUUACCACAUAUAUUAUAUAUUAUAUAUUAUAUACCAGGUUUGUUGUGUAUAGAUGUUUUUGUUUUGAGAGUAUUUCACUAUCUGUUUUGCUGAUGCGUUUUAUUUUGGUGGAUAACAUGCUGCAUGCUGCUCCACUUCAUUUCCCUGCUUCAUCUCUCAACAAAAAACUGUAAAUCAAGGUGAACUACCACAUAUUAUUUACCAGAUAUUGUUCAAGAAUCUUGAUUUGGACAUGAAGGCAGUUACUCCUUUUCUCUGCUGUUCCUUUGGUUGAAGAUAUGAAUAUGCUUUUUAUUUUUUCUGUUUUCAUUGCAACUGCCAACUAGAUAAUUAAAAACUGUUUGCUGAAAAACUUAUUGAUCCUUUACUUUUGCAGGGUGCUUCCAAUGGUAAUGGAUAAGGCAAGGGUAUUAAAGAUAUAUAUAUUGUCCAGAAGAGUGUUUCACUAGCAAUAAUGGCACUUGUUUUAAAGAUAAUUAAGAAACUCUCAAUACCAUGGUUUGAAUAAUGCAAGUGAAUCCCUUAAACAUGCCAUGCAACGUGUUAUUGAUGACAACCUUGAGUUGGGAUGUGCAUCAAUUGAGAAGCUUCUGUUAUGGGUGUUUUAUGAAUGUCCAAAAGCUAUGGUUUUAACUAUUAUAUCAACACAGGGGCAACAACAUAAUCUUUUAUCUCUCUUGUUGAAACACUGAAGAUGAGUGAUGCAAGAGUAGUAUUCUCUGCUCUUCACAAUGUCAUUCAGACUUUAUCCAAUUGCUAGAAUCCACCUGAUUCGCUUGUUGACCGGUUUAACUGGUAACUUUUUGGUGACAUGGUGUAUGGUUGGUAUGCAUUUGAUGACGUGUCAAAUACAUGCCAUGCCACCUCACCAAAACUUACCGGUUGGUUAAACUGGGAAUAGAGCAUUUUUUCAGUGGAACCAAAACUCAAUGAAUAAGUGUCCAUGCCAUUUAAUGACUGGUUUUCCACUUUUCACAGCGGAAGUGGACAGAUGGUUUCUCUUUGCCAGUUUAAUUCCACCAUUUGUUUCUCAAUUUCAGAAUGUUGAGGAUGUUGCCACCUGAAACCAUGGUGGGCCCCUUCAAACCCCAACCUCAUCUGGAAACCAACAUCUCCAAAAGUUAAUUUCUUGAAACCAAUUACAUCAAUAUUUAUCCGAAUAUAUAGAAACCAAUUUUGAUAAGACUUGUUAGUUUUAUAUUCAAGAAAAAAGAUUGCACUAUUGCAUUGUGUUUUCAGUUUUUCCUUUAUUAAAGUUAUGCUUCCAGAACUCUUAUUUAUUACAACAUUUUAAUUUAGAAAAGUUUAUCCAUUACAUUGAUUAUGUACGGCUUUUGACUUAUGUUUUGUGGUAUGUGUUUGUAUGAGCUGUCAUCACAUGUUAUGGGAAAGACAGAGAAGAAAUUUUCUUUUACCAAUUAUAUUCAUAUUAAGUCCAAGUGGGGAUCCAGAAAUAGUAAAUUGCUUUCAUUUCAUACUCCAGCUAAUCGAACGUCCAGAAUCUUGAAGCAAAGCAGAGAAAUAACGAGUGAUUUUCAUCCUCUUUUUUCUUCGACAUGUCUGCUUUCACCCAAAUCG